GGGGAAGCCUUGGCCUUUCUGUCAGCGCGACGGGUGGAGGCCGUGAGGCGACCGGCGGCGCUGGGACGGCGGCGGGGAGCGGCCUCGCGAAUAAAGCUGUGUGCGUCCCGCAAGCGUGUGCGGCUGCUUCUUCGUGCGCCGUGCUCCCCUUCCCCUCCGCACUGCCUUUGACCCGGCGGGGCGCCCCGCCCGCGGCGCCGCUGGCCAAGCUGCAGUGCCAGAGCGAAGCGCUUGUUCAUAACUGGGGCUGCUCGGACCCGCCCGGGCGGCGCUUUUAAAAGCAAGUUACAGCUCGUU